UUUANUNGAGGAAGGUGGGGAUGACGUCAAAUCAUCAUGCCCCUUAUGACCUGGGCUACACACGUGCUACAAUGGGAAGUACAACGAGUCGCUAGACCGCGAGGUCAUGCAAAUCUCUUAAAGCUUCUCUCAGUUCGGAUUGCAGGCUGCAACUCGCCUGCAUGAAGCCGGAAUCGCUAGUAAUCGCGGAUCAGCACGCCGCGGUGAAUACGUUCCCGGGCCUUGUACACNCCGCCCGUCACACCACGAGAGUCCUCACACCCCAAGUCGGUCCCCUAACCUUUUGGAGCCAGCCGCCUAAGCCCCGACAGACGAUGGGGUGAAGUUNNNAACCAANNNNNCUANNG
rnacentral:rRNA from 1 species